GACUGUGUACUUUAUUUUAAAAGAACUAGUUUGCACCUAGUAAUAGGGCAACCAAACCCCACAGA
rnacentral:tRNA from 1 species